UAGCUCAUUACAACAGCCACCGUUUACUAGAAAAUCAGUAUCCUACUCGGAUAACUGUGGCAAUUCUAGAGCUAAUACGUGCGAAAAAGCUCGUUUCGCAAGAUUCGAGCGCAUUUAUUAGAAUAAAAACCAAUCGGGCCCAUAAAGCUCGUAAUUUGGUGAAUCUGAAUAACUUUGCCGAUCGCACGGUCCUAGUACCGGCGACGUAUCUUUCAAGUGUCUGCCUUAUCAACUUUCGAUGGUAGGUUAUACGCCUACCAUGGUAGUAACGGGUAACGGAGAAUAAGGGUUCGACUCCGGAGAGGGAGCCUGAGAAACGGCUACCACAUCCAAGGAAGGCAGCAGGCGCGCAAAUUACCCACUUCCAGAACGGAGAGGUAGUGACGAAAAAUAACGAGACAGUCCUCUUCGAGGUCUGUCAUCGGAAUGGGUACAAUUUAAAUCCUUUAACGAGGAUCUAUUGGAGGGCAAGUCUGGUGCCAGCAGCCGCGGUAAUUCCAGCUCCAAUAGCGUAUAUUAAAGUUGUUGCGGUUAAAACGCUCGUAGUUGGAUCUGCGGCCUCGGAGAACGGUCCCCCGAAAGGGCGGUCACUGUUACUCCAAGCCUAAAUAUCUAGUCUACUCUACGGUGCUCUUAACCGAGUGCCUAGAGUGACUGGAACGUUUACUUUGAAAAAAUUAGAGUGCUUAAAGCAGGCGAAAUAGCCUGAAUAAGGUGCAUGGAAUAAUGGAAUAGGACCUCGGUUCUAUUUUGUUGGUUUUCGGAGCCCGAGGUAAUGAUUAAGAGGAACAGACGGGGGCAUUCGUAUUCCGGCGCUAGAGGUGAAAUUCUUGGACCGCCGGAAGACGGACGACUGCGAAAGCAUUUGCCAAGAAUGUUUUCAUUAAUCAAGAACGAAAGUUAGAGGUUCGAAAGGCGAUCAGAUACCG
rnacentral:rRNA from 1 species